UUCUAGUUGGCUUGGCCAGGAAGCUGCUCUUAGGGCCUCGGAGAGAGGAGAGCAAGGAGGAAGGCCAAGAGGAAGUCACAAAGAUCAGUUUAAAAAUAACCCUCCUCUCCAUGUCAGCCAUGAGGAGGAGCUUGGAGAGGAGCCAUGUUCUGAUGGUGGUGGCUCAGGGCAGCCUCAGAAAGACCCAAAAGCGAAUUGGCAGAGGCCCAUCUGGGAGCACACCCCGUGUCCUUAUCAGCUCUAGCAAGCCACCGCCAAAACCCCGUCUUCAAGAGACUUCCGCCCAGCCAGCAUCUGUUUCCUCUCCUAUAUUUAAACAACCAGGAACUACCAAAUGUCUUCCAAAGUGACUGUACCAUUUUGCAUUCCCACCAGCGAUGAAUGAGAGUUCCUGUUUCUCCACAUCCUUGCCAGCAUUUGGCGAUGUCAGUGCUUUGGAUUUGGGCCAUUCUACCAGAUCAAGGUGCCAGCAGAUUCAGCGUCUGUUGAAGACGGUCUUUUUGAUUUGCACAUGGCCUCCUUCUGUAUCCUCACGUGGCGGAGAGAGAUCGUCGUCUUCUGAUCAGAUCUUCUGAUCACACAUUGGAGAUUAGAGCUUCAACAUGUGACUCUGGUGGGCGGGAGGGAUCAACAUUAAUAGCAACAGGCUCCUCCAUACCUCUCCAGCUGAAUUGUCCAUCUCUUCCUGAAGAAGACCUACUUCAUAGGCCAGGAAUUUCAAACACGUAUUACCAUGCUCAUUUCUACUUCUUCUUUUUUUUUUUUAAUGUUGAUUCAUUUCUGAACGACAGAGAGACACAGAGCACAAGCAGGGGUAGGGUGGAGAGAGAGGGGGACACAGAAUCCGAAGCAGCCUCCAGGCUCCAGGCUCUGAGUGGUCAGCCCAGAGCCCAACACGGGACUUGAACUCACGAACUACAAGAUCACGACCUGAGCCGAAGUCGCUUAACCGACUGAGCCACCCAGGCGCCCUGCUCAUUUCUACUUCUGACAUGGGGUUCAUAUUUCCUCCACUUUGGAAUUUCUUCCCCAUUCCCUUUCCUCCUACUUAGUCUACUCAAAUCCAUUUCUCAAGACCUGUUUCAAGUCCAAAACCAGUGGGAAACAUCCCCAUUGAUCAUCCUUUCUGUGAACUUCUAUUGUAUUUAAGAAUCUGUACACAUAACAUAGAAUUUGAGUAUAUAUUAUUUUCUAAUACUGUUUUCUAGAGGUUCUAUAUGGGCAUGCAUUGCCUCCUCAUUCUGACUGUGAGCAGGAAGCUGGGCACAAAGCAGAAAUUGAGUGUGAUUGACCUCAGUGGUAAGUGCAUGUGCACUGAAGGCAGAAUCCCAGAUCAAAAUAUCUAUGUAUUGACUUUGUGACCUUGGGCAUAAUGCUUAACUUUUCUAUGCCUCAGUUUAUUCAUCUCUAAAAUGGGAAUAAUGAGGGGUGCCUGGGUGGCUCAGUCGGUUAAACAUUGACUCUUGAUCUCAGCUCAGGUCUUGAUCUCAGGGUGGUGAGUUCAGGCCCCAUGUUGGGCUCUGUGCUGGGUGUAAAGCCUACUUUUAAAUAUAUAUAUAUAUAUAUAUA